rnacentral:rRNA from 1 species
GACGAACGCUGGCGGCGUGCUUAACACAUGCAAGUCGAACGGUGAAGCACCUUCCUUUUGGUGGGUGUGGAUGAGUGGCGAACGGGUGAGUAACACGUGAGUAACCUGCCCCCUUCUUCUGGAUAACCGCAUGAAAGUGUGGCUAAUACGGGAUAUUCUGGGUCUGUCGCAUGGCGGGCCUGGGAAAGAUAUUGUUUCGGGGGGGGAUGGGCUCGCGGUCUAUCAGCUUGUUGGUGGGGUGAUGGCCUACCAAGGCGGUGACGGGUAGCCGGCCUGAGAGGGUGCACGGGCACACUGGGACUGAGACACGGCCCAGACUCCUACGAGAGGCAGCAGUGGGGAAUAUUGCACAAUGGGCGCAAGCCUGAUGCAGCGACGCCGCGUGAGGGAUGGAGGCCUGCGGGUUGUAAACCUCUUUCGCCAGUGAAGCAGGCCUGUCCCUUUUGUGGGUGGGUUGACGGUAGCUGGAUAAGAAGCGCCGGCUAACUACGUG